UCCUACACUUGACCUAGACAGCCUUACAUAAUGAAGCACCAGUGCUGGGGAGCUCUCUGAAUGUCAUCACCAGCAAGAGCAAGAAGUAUUGGCAGCAGCAGGCAGCCAGGCAGGCUGGGAGUUUGCAUGGAAAUCAUGAAGUCUUUCUUGUCUUCCUCUUUUGAAAUAUUUUGGAAGGCGAGUUAAGAAUAGCUCAGAAACUGGUCUCAUUCUUUUUGUGGGAAGAAUGACCAGAAGCAUAAAAGCUAAGUCUUCCAGCAAGUGCAAGACACCUCUUUCGGUGUUUGCAGUAAACCUAACAAGAAUGAAUUGCUAUCAGUAAAGUCCUGUACCAUGACACCUAAAAGGAAGGAGAUGGUAAAGCAAAGUAAUAACUCAAAGACAGUCACCAAGGGCUUUUGUCCACCUUUAACUCAUUGUGGAACUUGAUAUCAUCAGACAGUAAAUCAAGAGGUACUGACAACUGAGACUGAGUGAUGGUCCCUGCCUAGGAUUUGGAAUCUUUGCAUGAAAUAGGGACUCUAGCCACCAGCGACAAAGAAGUCAGGGAGACUGCGGUCUCUAGGAAGCACUUCCAGGAAACAGGAAUUCAGGCAAAGUUGGACAUUCCAAAGAUGGCGUAGAUGAACAUGACCAGGAAGAGCAGGAGGCCGAUGUUAAACAACGCAGGAAGGGACAUCAUCAAAGCAAAGAGCAGCGUGCGGAUCCCCUUUGCUCCUUUGACUAGACGUAGGAUUCGGCCAAUCCUGGCAAGACGGAUCACUCGGAACAGGGCAAAGGGUUAUCAACUGUGCUGCACUCUGAGGAGCUUGACCGGUUUAAUCUCUAGAAAGGAAUUCACCACCCCACCAGCACGCGGAACACAAUCAGGAAGGAGUGGAAGAAGUCGUUCAUGUGCCACCGUGGGAGCGUACAGUCAUCAUUGAUCUUGCAGACACAUUCUUUGUAGCUCUUACCAAAGAGCUGCAUGCCGACCACAGCAAAAAUGAAGACGAUGAUGGCCAACACUAAGCCUUUAGACUAAAAAGAAAACAAAUAUUACAUACCCUGAAUCUGUGCUGAAACCACAAAGGAGAGCAUCUUUGGAUCCCUCCAAAUAAUAAAAGUAUUCUGUUGAAGAAGAAUUUGAACAGUUAUAACACUACAGACUUUAAUCUGUGAUUGUCAUAAAGCAGGUCAAAUUAAAAAAUCUGAUUAUUGGGAGACUUUUGGAGUAAUCAUGGAAGAAAGACUAUGAAAUCAGAUAUUCUUGGAUUUGAAUGUUGCUUCUAUCCCUUCUUAAGUUUUAUUCAUUUUUAAACAAGAACUGGGAAAAAGUGUAAACCUAAUUGGCACUGCAUAGACUAUCCAUCCAAGUGCUGAGCAUGGAGGAAGAUGAUCAAUCUCAAUGAUGUCACAUACCUCUGAGUGGGAGAUAGUCUUUUUGAAAAAUUUAGUAUUUGCCUAUCAAUGACUAGCUUUCAUAUAGCUUCCAUUUUCCUUUAAAUACAGACAUUCCAUGCUGGAAAAAUCAGACCCCAGAGGUUUGCUGUUAUUGGAACACUGUGCUGCCUGAGAUUUUCAUAAAUUUGCCAUUUCAAAAAGCUGAAAGUACUUACGCAAAAACAAUGACGACA